rnacentral:rRNA from 1 species
GACGAACGCUGGCGGCGUGCUUAACACAUGCUAGUCGAACGGUGAAAGCGGAGCUUGCUCCGCUGGAUCAGUGGCGAACGGGUGAGUAACACGUGAGCCACCUGCCCCUGCCUUCGGGAUACCUCCUCGAAAGAGGUGCUAAUACCGGAUACGAAUCCUUCAGGCAUCUGCGGGAUUGGAAAGGUUUUCGGUCAGGGAUGGGCCCGCGGCCUAUCAGGUUGUUGGUGGGGUAGUGGCUCACCAAGGCGCCGACGGGUAGCCGGCCUGAGAGGGCGACCGGGCACACUGGGAGUGAGGCACGGCCCAGACUCCUACGGGAGGCAGCAGUGGGGAAUAUUGCGCAAUGGGCGAAAGCCUGACGCAGCAACGCCGCGUGAGGGAUGACGGCCUUCGGGUUGUAAACCCCUUUCAGCAGGGAAGAAGCGAAAGUGACGGUACCUGCAGAAGAAGCACCGGCUAACUACGUGCCAGCCGCCGCUGUAA